UACGUAGGGUGCAAGCGUUAAUCGGAAUUACUGGGCGUAAAGCGUGCGUAGGCGGUUUCUUAAGUCUGCUGUGAAAGCCCCGGGCUCAACCUGGGAAUGGCGGUGGAUACUGAGAAGCUGGAGUACGGUAGAGGAAGGUGGAAUUCCCGGUGUAGCGGUGAAAUGCGUAGAGAUCGGGAGGAACAUCAGUGGCGAAGGCGGCCUUCUGGACCAGUACUGACGCUGAGGCACGAAAGCGUGGGGAGCAAACAGG
rnacentral:rRNA from 1 species